GAUGAACGCUGGCGGCGUGCCUAAUACAUGCAAGUCGAGCGAACAGACGAGGAGCUUGCUCCUCUGACGUUAGCGGCGGACGGGUGAGUAACACGUGGAUAACCUACCUAUAAGACUGGGAUAACUUCGGGAAACCGGAGCUAAUACCGGAUAAUAUAUUGAACCGCAUGGUUCAAUAGUGAAAGACGGUUUUGCUGUCACUUAUAGAUGGAUCCGCGCCGCAUUAGCUAGUUGGUAAGGUAACGGCUUACCAAGGCAACGAUGCGUAGCCGACCUGAGAGGGUGAUCGGCCACACUGGAACUGAGACACGGUCCAGACUCCUACGGGAGGCAGCAGUAGGGAAUCUUCCGCAAUGGGCGAAAGCUUGACGGAGCAACGCCGCGUGAGUGAUGAAGGUCUUCGGAUCGUAAAACUCUGUUAUUAGGGAAGAACAAAUGUGUAAGUAACUAUGCACGUCUUGACGGUUCCUAAUCAGAAAGCCACGGCUAACUACGU
rnacentral:rRNA from 1 species